rnacentral:rRNA from 1 species
AUUCCAGCUCCAAUAGCGUAUAUUAAAGUUGUUGCAGUUAAAAAGCUCGUAGUUGGAGUUCAGGGUGAGCUCAGCCGGUCGGCGUCAUGCGUCAGAACUGGUCGACUCUCCCUUGUUUGUGGAUCCCGCCCGGAGUUAACUCUUCGGGAUGUGGAGUUCACAUCGUUUACCUUGAAAAAAUUAGAGUGUUCAAAGCAGGCGUUUGCUUGAAUAUAUUAGCAUGGAAUAAUGGAAUAGGACCCUGGUUCUAUUUUGUUGGUUUUGAGAACCAGAGUAAUGAUUAAUAGGGAUAGUUGGGGGCAUUCAUAUUUCAUUGUCAGAGGUGAAAUUCUUGGAUUUAUGAAAGAUGAACUUCUGCGAAAGCAUUUGCCAAGGAUGUUUUCAUUG